rnacentral:tRNA from 1 species
UGUAAGGUGGUUGAGAUUUAAACAAUAAACUGUAAAUUUAUAUACGGGUGAUACCCCCUUACAU